rnacentral:rRNA from 1 species
UAUGGAGCAAGCGUUAUCCGGAUUUACUGGGUGUAAAGGGAGCGUAGGCGGCCUGGCAAGUCUGGUGUGAAAUACCGGGGCCCAACCCCGGGGCUGCAUUGGAAACUGUCAGGCUGGAGUGCCGGAGGGGCAGGCGGAAUUCCUAGUGUAGCGGUGAAAUGCGUAGAUAUUAGGAGGAACACCGGUGGCGAAGGCGGCCUGCUGGACGGCAACUAACGCUGAGGCUCGAAAGCGUGGGGAGCAAA